UACGUAGGGGCCGAGCGUUGUCCGGAGUUAUUGGGCGUAAAGCGCGCGCAGGCGGCCUCGCGCGCCCGACGUGAAAGCCCCCGGCUUAACCGGGGAGGGUCGUUGGGGACGGCGGGGCUUUGGAGGGCGGGAGAGGUCGGUGGAAUUCCCGGUGUAGUGGUGAAAUGCGUAGAGAUCGGGAGGAACACCUGUGGCGAAGGCGGCUCACUGGACCACAACUGACGCUGAUGCGCGAAAGCUAGGGGAGCAAACAGG
rnacentral:rRNA from 1 species